rnacentral:rRNA from 1 species
UACGAAGGAUCCAAGCGUUAUCCGGAUUUAUUGGGUUUAAAGGGUGCGUAGGUGGGCAAGUAAGUCAGUGGUGAAAUCUCCGGGCUUAACCCGGAAACUGCCAUUGAUACUAUUUGUCUUGAAUACUGUGGAGGUCAGCGGAAUAUGUCAUGUAGCGGUGAAAUGCUUAGAUAUGACAUAGAACACCAAUUGCGAAGGCAGCUGGCUACACAAAUAUUGACACUGAGGCACGAAAGCGUGGGGAUCAAACAGG